rnacentral:ncRNA from 1 species
GUUUCAGGGCGAGGCGCAAUUCCUCACCGGUGGUAUAGCCCACGAGCGCUUUUUGGCGUUGAUUUGGUGUAAUUCCAAAGCCGACGGUAUAGUCCGGAUGAAAGAA